GCGCCGCCGGCCGUGUUUCGCGCGCGAUUCACCUGUCCCGAGUUUGGCCAGCGUCGUCGAUCGAUAACGCACGGCGAUCGUCGCAUUCAUCCGAUUUUCCACGAAUGAGCCAAGUGGUCGCUAGCGGACGACGGCGACGCGCAUCGACCGAUAAAUUACCCGGCUCCAAGGUAAGCGAAGCGACGAGGUAGCUUGAAGCUCCGGAGCGCGAAGGAGGAGGUCCUUCCUCGAUUGUAUAAUCGUCUUCCCUCUGUACGUCGUUGUGUCCGACGCUCCGACGGUGACGCCAUUAACCCUCCAGGAGCUGAUUCGCGUCCGGACGCCGUAUUCGUAGGUGUGGGAGAAACGCGGGUAAUCGCGAUCACGCGGGAACGCAGGUCGAUCGUCGCGAUCUGGCACUCGCCCAUGUCUCACGCGACACAGAGUGGACAAAAGACGCGAGCGGACGAAUAGCGAUGCCUCAAUCGAUAAAUACCCGGCUCCGAGAGAAAACGAAGCGACGCGGUAGCUUGGAGCUCCGGAGCGCGAAGGAGAGGAAGGAGGAGGUAGGAGGACGCGCGGGAUGUGCUCGGGAUCGCAAGUUAACCUGGCGCGAUAAAAGCCGCUCUAAAUAAAGCGGCGUAUGUACGGCGAUCGCAUG